rnacentral:rRNA from 1 species
GAUCAUGGCUCAGGAUGGACGCUAGCGGCAGGCCUAACACAUGCAAGUCGAGGGUAGAGUUCUUCGGGACUUGAGACCGGCGCACGGGUGCGUAACGCGUAUGCAAUCUACCUUAUACAGGGGAAUAGCCCAGAGAAAUUUGGAUUAAUGCCCCAUAGUGUUAUCGAAUCGCAUGGUUUGAUAACUAAAGUUCCAACGGUAUAAGAUGAGCAUGCGUCCCAUUAGUUAGUUGGUAAGGUAACGGCUUACCAAGACAAUGAUGGUAGGGGUCCUGAGAGGGAGAUCCCCCACACUGGUACUGAGACACGGACCAGACUCCUACGGGAGGCAGCAGUGAGGAAUAUUGGUCAAUGGGCGCAAGCCUGAACCAGCCAUGCCGCGUGCAGGAAGACGGUCCUAUGGAUUGUAAACUGCUUUUAUACAGGAAGAAACCCUCCCACGUGUGGGAGCUUGACGGUACUGUAGGAAUAAGGAUCGGCUAACUACGUG